rnacentral:rRNA from 1 species
GACGAACGCUGGCGGCGUGCUUAACACAUGCAAGUCGAACGAUGAAGCCUAGCUUGCUAGGUGGAUUAGUGGCGAACGGGUGAGUAAUACGUGAGUAACCUACCUUUAACUCUGGGAUAAGCCUGGGAAACUGGGUCUAAUACCGGAUACGACCAAUCUCCGCAUGGGGUGUUGGUGGAAAGCGUUAUGUAGUGGUUAUAGAUGGGCUCACGGCCUAUCAGCUUGUUGGUGAGGUAACGGCUCACCAAGGCGACAACGGGUAGCCGGCCUGAGAGGGUGACCGGCCACACUGGGACUGAGACACGGCCCAGACUCCUACGGGAGGCAGCAGUGGGGAAUAUUGCACAAUGGGCGCAAGCCUGAUGCAGCGACGCCGCGUGAGGGAUGACGGCCUUCGGGUUGUAAACCUCUGUUAGCAGGGAAGAAGAGAGAUUGACGGUACCUGCAGAGAAAGCGCCGGCUAACUACGUG